rnacentral:tRNA from 1 species
UCUGGAGUGGCCCAGUGGAUAGGGCAUUUGCCUGGGGAGCACACAGAGUGGCUGGCUCAAGUCCCAUCUCCCGAC